rnacentral:tRNA from 1 species
GUGGGUAUAGUUCAGUUGUAGAGCACAUGCUUAGCAUGCACAAGGUCUUGGGUUCAAUCCCCAGUGCCUCCA